rnacentral:rRNA from 1 species
AGUGAACGCUGGCGGUAGGCCUAACACAUGCAAGUCGAACGGCAGCACAGUAAGAGCUUGCUCUUACGGGUGGCGAGUGGCGGACGGGUGCGGAAUACAUCGGAAUCUACUUUUUCGUGGGGGAUAACGUAGGGAAACUUACGCUAAUACCGCAUACUACCUACGGGUGAAAGCAGGGGAUCUUCGGACCUUGCGCGAUUGAAUGAGCCGAUGUCGGAUUAGCUAGUUGGCGGGGUAAAGGCCCACCAAGGCGACGAUCCGUAGCUGGUCUGAGAGGAUGAUCAGCCACACUGGAACUGAGACACGGUCCAGCCUCCUACGGGAGGCAGCAGUGGGGAAUAUUGGACAAUGGGCGCAAGCCUGAUCCAGCCAUACCGCGUGGGUGAAGAAGGCCUUCGGGUUGUAAAGCCCUUUUGUUGGGAAAGAAAAGCAGCAGGUUAAUACCCCGCUGUUCUGACGGUACCCAAAGAAUAAGCACCGGCUAACUUCGU